rnacentral:rRNA from 1 species
UACAGAGGUCCCAAGCGUUGUUCGGAUUCACUGGGCGUAAAGGGUGCGUAGGUGGCGGGGUAAGUUUGAUGUGAAAUCUCCGGGCUUAAUCCGGAAACUGCAUUGAAUACUAUUCUGCUCGAGGUUUGGAGGGGGGACUGGAAUUCUCGGUGUAGCAGUGAAAUGCGUAGAUAUCGAGAGGAACACCAGUGGCGAAGGCGAGUCCCUGGACAACACCUGACACUGAGGCACGAAAGCUAGGGGAGCAAACAGG